rnacentral:rRNA from 1 species
UUUAAAUAUAAAUUAUUUUUUAAUUGAAAAUUAAAUGGAAUCAUUAAAUUUAUUUAAUUUGGCGGUAUUUUAAAUAGUUAGAGGAAUUUGUUUAUUAAAUGAUAAUCCACGAUAGGAAGAUCUUGACGAAUUUUUUAUGUAUUGUUGUUUGAAAAUUAUUUUAAUAGAAAAUAAUUAAUAAAUUUUUAAUAAUUAUAAUUCAAAUCAAAAUGUAGAAUUGUUAAGGUAUAAUGAAUUACAGUUUAAUUUAAUAGAUUUAUAUUUUUAAUUAAUAUAGUGAAAGAGGAUUUAAUAGUAAAUUUAUUAAAUUAAAUAAAUUGAAAAAUAAAUUAAAAUAUG